GGUUCUGUAGUGUAGUGGUUAUCACAUCUGCUUUACACGUAAAAGGUCCUGGGUUCGAUCCCCAGUGGAAUCA